UAAAUUUUAAUUCACUAAUUGAAUACACAACCAAAUAUAUAUAUGAUAUAGUUGAAUUUUAAUACGGUUAAUGGCAAACAGGCGAGAUUAAAGCGAUUCCAAAACUGAACUCUAAAGGCGUAAACGCCAACUGCUUAAGUAGCGGUGUAAAACAAAUCUAAUUAUCGAACACCAAUCUACUCCUCCUCUGUAGUAAUCGAGAUUCUUGGCCGCCCUCUUCUUCUAACUAGAGCGAGGUUCGAAGUUUGGUCGUGACAAAUUUUAAGUUGAUUCACAUGGACUCGGCGUUGAACUCCGUCGUUCCCAACUAAGUUAAAUAUCAAAGGAUUUUCGGUAGAGACAGCAACAAACGGACCAAGAAACUUCGGUUGAUGUUUUUGUUGUUGAUUGGUGAACAUAUUUUUCCAAUAGACACGUUUUCCAUCCAAAGCCAACGGCGAACGCGUGUUGUGAUGUUGAUAUAUUAUAUAUUAAAUAUGAUCAAAUAUGCUAUAUUUAAUUUAGUCUCAAGAUAAUUUGCAACAUUAUAAUUAAUAAAAAAAUAAUAAAAAUUAUAAUUAAUUGUAUACAAAGUGUGUUCAGAUUUUUUAAGCCAUAAUAAAGGAGUUUAAGAAUCAUUUUAGCCAAUUUUCAGAUUCAGAAAAUUUCAUUAAAUUCAUGCAAAAAAAAAUCGAGUAUCAAGUGGAAUGCAUUCUUUCUCAGUGUAACAAAAUACAAAUACAGGAGAAAACGAAAUCGAAAUUCAAAAAACUUUUAUUAUCUUCUUCUACUCUUUAAGAGGCUAAGGAUGUCUGUAAACUGCGGAGAAGCUGAGCCGAAAAUUCCUACUUAUUUUCAGUACAAACCUAACUAUUUGGUAUGAGCUACUCAGUGUGUGUGUGUGUGUGUGUGUGUCUGAGCAUGCGGGAAAACUUUUGAAUGCCGCUGAACAGUUCGUCCAGCUCAGAAGUAGAAGUCGCUUCCAAAGAAACGCAUUCUGUGGUAUGUAGCUUUGACAAAGCUUUUUUUCAUUGUUCUAGCUCAGCACACUUUGCUGCAGAUUUUGCAUCCAAUAGAUGGUGCAGUCAUUCAAUAGAACAUAGAAAGAGUUCGAAUUCGAAUUUUUCGAAUUGAUUAUUGUGAUAAUACAUGUGGCACGUGAUUUUCAUUUUGUUUGCCUGUGUGAGUGUGUAUUUGAUGAUGAAAUCUUGCCUGAAGACUGUAUUCAUUGGAAUGAUUUUUUCUUUGUUUUUGUUCCCGUGAUCUAUGAUCUACUCAUCGUUUGAAAAGCAUUUAAGAUUCAAUGUUGAGUGUCUUCAUGCGAUGAACCCACAAGGUUAUCCUAUAGGAUCUAUAGACACAAACUUGGAUUAAACAUUGGAUCGAUUAUCAUGUUCAGUCGCAAUAUUGAACCACAAAGUGGUUUGCUCAAUGGCAUGCGUUUAUUUGUAAAUACACGCAGCAUUGAAGCUCGAAUAUUGACAAGGAGGCUAUGAUUCAUUUUGCAGCAAAACGAUCAAGAUCCUAAGCUACCAUUUAAAUUGGUGCGUGGACAAUUUCCUGUCGUAUUGGCUUUUGCUCUGACAAUUAAUUAUUGUUUUAAGGGCAAUCUUUCGAUAAAAUAAGUGUGUACCUUCCUACACCAGUAUUGCAACAUGGAAUGAUUUAUAUGGCUUUUUGCCGCUGCAAAAAUCCUAAUAAUCUGAAGAUUUUUGUUUAGGAAAUUGAGGGGAAGAUCAACAACGACCACAGUAUUUAUACCAAAAAUAUCGUAUUUCUUCAACUUAUCGAUUAGCAAUAAUAAGUAUGCUGUUCGGUGUACGCAACUUUUUCAAAGGUAUCAGGUGCAAUGCACAAGUGAUGGCUGACCCUGCGGUACCAAACCGAAGGCCGGAAGCAACACGCCGUGCAUAGAAACCCACCGUCAGGCACGAAGCGUUAAAAUUGACACCUUUGACUGGAUACCAAGCAGGGGGGCGGCGCAGCCGCCACCCCUGCGGGUAUCCAGUUAUAUUGACCGUCAAGGAGUCAGCCCCGCAGGGCCAGACCAGGACAGGCGCGAAGCGCCUGUUCUCGGGCUGGUUUUUCAUUAUUUCAUAUAUUUGAAUAAUAUCCAUGUCGAAAUUCUCACAUAUGCAUAUUGUUUUGUGAAAACAAUCGAAAAAUAAUCGAAAUGACAAAAAAUCCAAUUUUUCAUAGAUUGCAAGUUCGUUGAUUUAUUUUUUAAGUACAAAUCGGAAAAAUCUUGCAUGCAACAUCAUCACCAGAAUUGGUAGCGGCAUUGCCAAUUUUUUUUGCAUGUGCCUCUCCUUCGUAAAAAAGCUGGCAGUACCGUGGUCGAUUAUCCAGAGUGUAUAUAAUUGAAAAACAAAACAAACCAUCCCUUCAUAAACAACGUACAAAAAAAACAAACGUAAACAAACCAACAAAAUUCGGGAAUUUAUGUACAGUAAAACCCCGCUUAACGUGGGUGUUACGUUCCAAUAACACCAUACCAAUAUAUUGGUUUGAUUAAUUCCAGCUUCAUAUUCAUAUUUUUGAAUAUUUUAAUUAUAUAUCAUCAUAUAUUUUAUAUUUAAUUAUAUUUUAAUCAUUACAGAUACAAAAAGCAUCAUUUUUCAUUUUUUAAUCCAUUAUUGCCAUUGAAAUACAUUGCCUGCCAAUAAACUUAUCAUCAUCAUCAUCAAUGCUUCAUCUAUGGACCACUCUUAUCGAGCCAUUAUCCCAUAGGAAUACAUUGUCUACCAUAGACACUUCAUUGAAUGUGUUGGCAAAUGAACUUGAUGAUGAAAAAAAAACUAAAUUCAGAUUCGAAUAUUUGGAAAUUAUUUUAUUUUUAUUUCAUAUUUUUUACAUUAUUUUAUAUUUGUUAUUUCCUUAUUUCCUGAUUGAUUUGUAUGAUUUGGAUGUCCUGGUUGGCCAUCGCCAACCUGUUGGAGAAAUUGAAAUAAAAUUAGUUUUUUGAAAAAAAA